UCAACAAGAGCAGCAGCAAGCAUAACAUCAACAACAAUCACCACUACCACCACCAACAGCAACAACACCAGUAUCAUCAUCAACAACAUUGACAACGGUAACAACAGCAGCAGCAAUAACAAUAUUCGGUACAGCAGCAACAGCAGCAGCAACAAUUUCUACAUCAUAAUCAGUACCAGCAGCAGUGACAACAGCAUCAACAUAAACAACAACAACAACGAUGACGACGACAACAAAAAUACAAAACUGGAAUUCCAAGUCCAUUUCUAAUUUCGGUAAAUUCUACAACAUUUAUAGAAUUGGAUAAUUCGUGGUACACUCCACACCACCCUUACAACACCCGUCGUGAUUUCACACCACAUCACGUCACUCGACACUUCACCGGACCAACGUCACGUCACGCUGCGGCACACUACGGCACAUCCGCCUCAGUCACAUCCACCGAGGACUUGUCAUUUGGAUUGACUCAAAGGAAUUUCCAGGAGCUACCCUGGAUGUUUACCUUGCAAUGUAAUUAUAAUUAAUAUCUUUAAUAUUAUCAUUAUUAUUAUAGUUGUUGUUGUAAUGAGGAUUUCUUUAUUAGCCAGAAGGGCAAUAAUCACACAACACAUUCAUAUACACUAUAUUAGUAGAUAUACAUAAAUCACUGAUUUUAUAAAAACUGCGAAUAUACAUAACAUACAUAUAGACAUAUACAUAUAUACACACAUAUAUACAUGCAUAUACACACACAUAUACACACAUAAACGCUUAAUAAUAAUAAUAAUAAUAAUAAUAAUAAUAAUAAUAAUAAUAAUAAUAAUAAUAAUAAUGAUCAUUAGCACAAUGAUAACAUUGCACGCUGUCUCUGUCUAGCCGUCUAGAAUGGCGACAAUGCACCUUCCUCUUUCGAUUGGUCGUUCUUCGUCCUUCUACGAAAGAUGUGUUCCGAGUGAAAUAUUACCAAUGGAUCCUUCUAGAAUCUAAAGACUUCAUCCACCGGUCAACAUUUCUAUAGAUUUCCUUCCUUUCUUCAACCUACCAACCAUUUUUAGUUCCUUAUCUAUCUAUCUAUCUAUCUAUCUAUCUAUCUAUCUAUCUAUCUAUCUAUCUAUCUAUCUAUCUAUCUAUCUGUUUGUCUGUUUAUAUUCUUCUUCUUCUUCUUCUUCUUCUUCUUCUUCUUCUUCUUCUUCUUCUUCUUCUUCUUCUUCUUCUUCUUCUUCUUCUUCUUCUUCUUCAGAUUCUUUACUCCUUUCUUCUUCCAACAAUCAUUCGGCUUAUUUACCAUUCUAGAAAGAGAAAAUAAAUGUAAUUUUCGCGAAAAUGACGCUUCGUGUAAAAAUUCUCCACAUAUAUCUAAGGUGAGUAAAAGAGAAAUCUUGGUUUCUUUUGAAAAAUAUUUUAGCUUCAUUUCUUCAUUCAUUAAUAUAAUAAUUUCCUUCGUUUAAACCUCUUUCUUCCAUAUUUUACAGUACCUCAUUUAUGCAUUAUUUUCGUUCAUUUUUAUUUCGAUUUCUUUCACUGGUGUUUUCAUUUCGUUCAUUCAUAUAUAAAUUGUAUUUAGAUUCUAUCAUAAUUCAUUCAUUUCUUUCGUUCAUUUCAUCUUUAUUCGCUUACUCAUUCAUACUUUCACUUCAUUCAGCACUUUUAAUUUGCUUCAUUCAUAUUUCAAAUUAUCUCAUCAAUGUGUUAACUUCAUUUACCCAUUUUAAAUUCAGUUUCUUACUUUCAUCCAUUUUUUAAAACUUUAUUCAUUCAAACUUUUACUCCAUUUAUUCAUUCCUUCUUUCAUUCCUUCAGUUACAUUACUUAAUUCAUGCCUCAACUUCGUUUAUGCUGCGUGUUGGCAGAAUCGUUAGAGCGUUGGACAAAUGGUUUGCGAUAUAUCUUCUGACCUCUACACUCUGAGUUCUAAUCCCGCUGAGAUCAACUCUAUUUUGUUAUCCCUUCAGGAGUCUACACAAGAAAAAGAAGCAAUCUAGGAUAACGAGUGAUCCAUUUGACUGAAUGUCUUGUUGUAUUUGUUGCAGUUCUUUGUAUUCUGAGUUCAAAUUCCACCAUGGCCUACUUAACUGUCGCCCGGUUUAUCACCAUUACUUGCCACUUUGGGUCUCUUCAUCGGAGUUCACUCUGUUGCAAGCAUCUGAGCUAGAUCCUUGGUUUGAGGCUAUCUGCCUCGCUCCCUCUCUCCCUUCUCGAAUACCUUAUGUCGGGCUGUCGGUUUUGCAUUCCUUGCGGAAUAAAGAUAAAAGGAUAUUUUAUACAGUGGUCGCUGUGCAAUAAGAAUUUUGUUUCUCAACCAUAUGGUUCCAGGUUCAGUCCUACAGCGUAGCACCUUGGACAAGUGCUUCCUACUAUAGUCUCUGGCUGACCUUGUAUUUGGUAGACGGAAACUGAAAGAAGCCGGUCGCUUGUGUGUGUGUAUGUGUAUUUAUAUUUGUCCCCUACCAUUGCUUGACAACCGAUGUUGGUGUGUUUACGUCCCUGUUACUCCACGGUUUGAGAAAAGGGCCCGAUAAAAUAAAUACCAAGCUAAAAACAAAUAAGUACCGGGGAUCGAUUCAUUCGACUAAAUAUUCUUCAAGGCGAUGCCCCAGCAUGGCCACAGUCUCAUGAUUCAAGCAAAUAAAAGCUAUGUUCUUUCGUUUCACUCUUUCAUUCCUCUAUACUCUUUAUCGCCUUCUCAUUCAUUUUAACUUCGAAUGAUAAUUUCAUGCUUUUAUUUCGUGCAGUUACUCAUUCGGCCAUGCCUUACUUUCCUUCAUUCAUUUUCCUUCUUUCAUUUAUAUAUUCAUUCACAUUCUAAUAUUAUUCCCUUAUUCAUUUCUGUUUUAGAUUCCAUUAUUCAUUUUUAAUUUCCUUCGUUCAAUUUCCUUUCUUUCAUUCAUUUAAACUUCUUUCAUUCGCUUGUUCGUUCCUUCAUAUUCAGACAACUUUUAUUCAUUUAUUUAUGUUUCAAUGUCUUCAUUCCUUUUACAUUCUUUCUUGUAUUUCAAUUUCGUUCGUUCAUAUUUCAACUUUAUUCAAUUAUAUUUUACCAUCUUUCAUUCAUGUCUCGAUUUACUUCAUUCUUUUCUAGAAUCAUCCAUUUAUACAUUCAUGUUUUAAUUUCAUUCGAUAAAUGAAUAAAUUCAUUCACUCGUUCAAAUUCAUUCAUUACUUAUUCAUUAUUCGUAAACUUAAUUCUUCGCUUGCUUCACUCAAUUCUUCUUCAAUGAGACUGUCAUUCGUAUAAAUUUUACCAUAACUCAUUCAGUGAUUCAUUUUUUUAAUCAUAACUCAUUCAAUUGAUACAUUUUCUUUAUUCUUCUCUAUCAUUCAUCCUUGCUUCUUUAUCAUCAUUCAUUCACUCAAUAAAAUUCUUUCUUAAUUUAUUCGCCCACAUAACUUUUUCCUCCUUCCGUUUUAAUUUCCUUAUCACACGUUCCCUUUAUUUUCAUCUCUCAUUUUCUACAGGUUUCAGCUAGAGGCUUAGGCCAUGCUGGAGCACCACCUUUCAGUGUAUUUGGGUUUCUUUUCUACUUUGUUUCUGGUAAUUCUUUGUGCCUUCGACCGCGAUGUAGACUCAUCUGGUAUCAGUGAUAAAAAUAUAAAGAAAAAUAUUAUUCAGACGCGCUUUGAAGACCUACACAUUUACACCUUGCAAAUCUCUGAGGUGAUAUGGCAGAAUUUUAAUUAGAUGUGGACCCUUGAAGCCUAAGCUGUUACAGUUCUGGGUCCUUAUUUCAGAUUUUCAAUUUAACUUCCUUUCAUCCAUGCUUCAUCACAUAUAAAUUCCUUCUCAAUAUAUACAAUAGAUGCAGACAUGGUUAAGUGGUUAACAAGAUCGCUUUGCAACCACAUGGUCUCAGGUUCAGUCCCAAUGCACGGCAACUUGAGCAAGUGUCUUCUACAAUGGACUCGGGCUGAGACCAAUGCCUUGAGAGUGAAUUUGGUCGACAGAAACUAUGUGGAGUUCGUCAUAUGUGUGUAUAUAUAUAUAUAUAUAUAUAUAUGUGUGUGUGUGUGUGUGUGUGUGUGUGUGUGUACGUACAAACACACAUGCGUGUGUCUGUGUAUGUGCGUGCGGGUUUUUAACCCACCCAUUCCCACUAUUCGACAGCCAGUAUUCGUUUUGUUUACGUCCUUGUAGCUUAGCAGUUCGGCAAAAGAAACCGUUAGAAGAAACCAGACUGAAAGACAAAAAAUAAAGAUGCAUUAGGAGUUAAUUUUCCCCUGAAGACGGUGUCCCAGCAUGGCCGCAACCAAAUAACUGAAACACAUAAAAGAUAUUCUUAUUCUCCCUUCUUAACUUUAUUCUUCACUUCUUUCAUUUUAUUUCACGAUUUCCUUCACCUCGUCUCCUUCCUAUCACCGUUUCCACUUCUUUAUUCAUACCUUUCAUAUUUUCUUCAUUGUCAUCAUACUUUCGCUGUACGAUUAGAUUAUUACCAUUAUUGUCUUCCAUAUAUAUCUUUACUUUUCACCUUCCAAUUAUAAUUUAUUUGUUGUUUUCAAAAAUUUCUUUCUUCCUUUAACUCUAUCUUUGAUUCCUUCUUUCGGUCACACAACUUAUAUGUUAUUUGAAUAUCAGUAAUUACUCCAUUUCAUUCAUUAUUACUGAGGUUGAAACCAAUCACGCAUCAUUUUGUUAUUGAAUUAAUUAUACAUGUUGUUACAUAUAUAUAUAUAUAUAUAUAUAUAUAUAUAUAUAUAUAUAUAUAUAUAUAUAUAUAUAUAUAUAUAUAUAUAUAUAUAUAUAUAUAUACUGCAAAAAGAAAAUGGAGGAGAACAAAAAUGACAUCAGCCGGUAGAUAUACUAUUAUGUCUAUUCCGAAACAAAAGGGAGCAUUAUAAGAAUAUAUAGACAUGCAAAGACUGUGUGCUGCACAAAUAUAUACUAGUAAUAGUAAUAAUAGUAACACAUAAGAGAGUAAAAGAUUAAAAGAUCAAAAGAUCAAAAGAUUAUAAGAUCGCUUAGUUGAUUGGCUUCCCAACCUAUAUAUAUAUAUAUAUAUAUAUACAUAUAUAUAUAUAUAUAUAUAUAUAUGUAUGUAUGUAUGUAUGUAUGUAUGUAUGUAUGUAUGUAUGUAUGUUUGUAAUGAGAAAAAAGUCGUCAGAAUUUUAGAAAAAAUUUUUUUAUUUCUUCAUUAUUAAUAGCGCUUUCGUUCAUUUCUCGAACUUGUCAAAUAGAAUUUCGUGAAUAUACAGUUUGUUCAUUUAUAUAAAACAGAUGGGGGUUUUUGUCUUUUGGGGGUGAGGUUCCAUUGACAGUGGAGAUAGAUAGAUAGAAAUAUAGGUAGGUAGAUAGAUAGAUAGAUACAUACAUACAUACAUACAUACAUAGUUAGAUAGGCAGAGAGAGGGAGAGAGAGAGAGAGAAGGUGGAGCCCCCUUCCUAUUCACCAUAUAUUUAGUUAUUUAUUUAGUCAUUUACCAUUGUAUUGGAAUAUAUAUAUAUAUAUAUAUAUAUAUAUAUAUAUAUAUAUAUAUAUAUAUAUAUAUAUAUAUAUAUAUAUAUAUAUAUAUAUAUAUAUAUGCAUAUAUAUAUAUAUCAAACAUAAAAUAUCACGGAUGUGUGGUAAGAUGUUUUCUUCAAAACUAAAUGGUUCUGGGUUCAGUCUCAGCCUCACUGCGUGGUACCUUGGGCUACUGUUUUCUGCUAUAGCCUCCAACCGACUAAAGCCUUAUUCGUGGGUUUGGUAGACAAGAACAAAGACCGUCGUACAUAUACAUAAGUCUGUGUGUAUGCAUAUAUAUAUAUAUAUAUAUUUAUAGAAAUACGCACAUACACACUAACACACGCAUUUGUAAUGUCAUAAUGUCUAUAAAAUAGCAAGUCGUUGCUAUCAUAUUUUUAAUACGGUUUCUUUAACUGGCAAAUGGUAGAACCGUUUGCACGCCUGCAUUUCGCCCGUCUUGAGGUUCUGAGUUCGAAUUCCACUAACAUCGAUUUUGUCUCACAUCUUUUCCGAUUUACCAAUUGAACACUAAAGUCGAUAUAAUCGACAAUCUCCCUUCACCCCCCAAAAUUGCUAGCCUUGUGCCAACAUUCGAAACCGAUAUUACUGACCAGUAUACGCAAUCGUCUAAUUCAGAUUCGGUUUUAAACCCGAUCCAUGCUUAAGCAGGGGCAAUAGGAGAAUAUAUGCUUACAUUUUCAAGGGAACAAUAUACAAAAUCUCAAUCUAUAUAUAUACAUAUAUAUAUUGCAAUAAUAACAAUCGGGUGUAUAUUUUUGGAAGUGUUGGUAGUAGAAAAGGCAUUUUAACUCUUAUUUCUAAAUUCUGUACCUGGCGAAGCAACUUGCUGCCCCCUGAUUAUAAUUAUGUUUAUAAUUAUGGAAUAUUUAUAUAUACACGCACAGUAAUCCCUCGUCUGCCUCGGAUGUUACGCUCCAAAAACCCCGCGAUAGGUGAAAAUCCGUGAAGUAGAAACAGUACUGUCCUGUAUAUUUUUUAUUAUUUUUAUGAUUUGUAUAUAUUUAUUUUAUUAUACAUGUAAAACAACACCACAGAGGAAUCGGCGUAAGCUUAAAUAAUAAACCGCGAUAACUGAACCUCGAUGUGGCGAGGGAUAACUUUAUAUAUAUAUAUAUGUGUGUGUGUGUGUGUGUGUGUGUGUGUGUGUGUGUGUGUGUGUUUGUGUGUGUUUGUGUGUGUGUGUUUGUAAUAUAUGUGUUUGUAUUAUAUAUAUAAUUGGUCGUUGUAGAUUCCAAUAUUAUUUAAUGACCAAUUUUAAAUACAAUUGGAAUUUACUCACAACGUAUUGGAAUCUUAUAUGUAUACCAUUCUGUCUAAAUAAUGGAUCUACAACUGCAAUAUCAGCUGUAAGACCUUCUAUUUAUAAAUGUUCUAAAAUCUUCACAACCUUGGUUUUUUUUAUCUCAUUCUGAAGGCAAAAAUUUAUAUAUAUAUGUAUAUAUGGAGCAUCAUCUUGCAAUUUUAGUCGAAUGUGUCGAACCUAAUACUCAGUAUAAGGCCUAGUAGAAGACACUUGCCCAAGGUGUUACGCAAUGGGACUGAACCUGGAACCGCAUGGUUGAGAAGUGAGCUUCUUACAACACAGCCAUGUCUAUAUGUAUAUAUACAUAUAUAUGUGUGUGUGUGUGUGUGUGUGUGUGUGUGUGUGUGUGUGUGCGUGCGUAUGUGUGUGUGUGUAUGUGUUAUAUAUCAUUUGCAUGAUAUGGACAAUAUACCGCCAGUAUUGCCCAAAUGACCUCAACAUUAGAUUCAAAAUUCAUCCACGCCUAGGACCACGGGCCAUACAUCCCCUACCCAGUUCAGGAUCACAGCGCAUAAAUACAAUUUGUUUUCCUCAACAGGCCCUGCCCUAUUUAACAGUGUCCCGAAAGAGAUCAAAGAGGAAAAGGAUCCCAUCACCUUUAAAGGUAAUCUGGACAAAUUUCUUCAAGGAAUACCAGAUAAACCACCUAUACCUCGAUACAACUCACUCAACCAGAAUUCCCUACUCGAAUGGACCACGAUAUCACAAAACUUGACCAAUUUUUGGUCGAAGCAUAUCUAAGUGAUCUAAGUUAUAUAUGUAUGUAUGUAUGUAUGUAUGUAUGUAUGUAUGUAUGUAUGUAUGUAUGUAUGUAUGUAUGUAUGUAUGUAUGUAUGUAUGUAUGUAUGUCUACACAUAUAUAUGUAUAUAUAUAUAUACAUACAUACGUAUAUUUAUAUUCUAUCUUUCUAUAUGUAUAUAUAUUUAUAUAUAUAUAUGUGUGUGUGUGUGUGUGUGUGUGUGUGAGUACUUGGAGUAUUUUGGAAAUUCCUUGAUACAGUUUUAAUAUUUGAAGAGAAGAUUAUGUAUGUAUAUACAAGGCGCGUGGGUGUGUGUUCGUGCGGUAAGAGGUUUGCAUUUCAGUCGCGUGCUUCGGGGUUCUGUUCACUGCGUGGUACCUUGGUGUCUUCAGCCAUAAUCUCGUAUAUCUAUGUGUGAGUUUGUCCCCCACCAACGCUAGACAACCGUUGUUUGUUUGUUUAUGUCCCUGAUAACUAGGGACCGAUGGAAUAGUUACUAGGCUUUAAAAAAAUAGUGCCCUAGCAUUAAUGAAACAUGUAAGAGGUAAAUGAAAUAUAUACAUACAUUCGUGAAAUAGUCAUCAUCAUAUAUAUAUAUAUAUAUAAUAUAUCCUUAAAUACAAAUAUAUGUGUGCGUGUAUGUAUGUAUGUAUAUGUAUAUAUAUAUAUAUAUAUAUAUAUAUAUAUAUAUAUAUAUAUAUAUAUAUAUAUAUAUGUAUAUAUAUAUAUAUAUAUAUAUGUAUGUAUAUGUAUGUAUGUAUGUAUGUAUGUAUGUAUGUAUCUAUGUAUUUAAGUAUAUAUACACACAAUGAAAGUAUGUAAUAAUAAUAUAUAUACUCCGAUUUUAAACGACAUUUAUAUAUAAACAAUUGACUGGAAAAUGAUGAGCUAACCUAGACCAAGAAUCGAACACAUACAUCAACGUUCACACGGCUCUUUGCGCGUCCUGUUGGGUCAAACGUUCACCCAUCAAUUUCUGCCACAUUUUAUGAAUAUAUACCCUAACUCUCCAUAUAUACUCUAACUUUGUAAGUUACGGAGUGCUGAUUUAUUUACAAUUAUUUUAUGUAGUAUUGGACAGAUGAAGUAUAUGGUUUCAUAAAUUUUGGCUGAAAUUGAUGGGUGAGCAUUUGGCCCAUUCGGAAUUGUACUAAUUGACUUGCGUAGUCACUCUAUCUCCGCAACUUACAAAGCUUUCUCGUUUGUUUGCAAAUAUUAUAUAUAUAUAUAUAUAUAUAUAUAUAUAUAUAUAUAUAUAUAUAUAUAUAUAUAUAUAUAUAUAUAUAUAUAUAUAUAUAUAUAUAUAUAUAAUCAACCUGUGUAUAUGUGUACAUUGAUUAAUUUACCUCUAAGUCUGAAUGUCUGUGGGCAUCUAGAACACCUUUACAGAUAUGUUUUCUUAUCUACCAAUCUAUUGUCAUAAAUGUUCCUACUGGUUGCUAGGUGUCUAACUAUUUACUUAACUCAUUUCUCUGUCUAUCUCUCUGUCUAUCUAUCUAUCUAUCUAUCUAUCUAUCUAUCUAUCUAUCUAUCUAUCUAUCUAUCUAUCUGUCUGUCUAUCUAUCUAUCACUCUAUCUCUUUAUCUCUCUAUAUAUCUAUCAGUUCAUCUUUUUGUCUGUCUACUUCACUGUCUCUAUGUAUGCAUAUAUGAAUGUAUGUUUAUGUAUGUAUGUAUGUAUGUGUGUGUGUGUGUGUGUAAGUAUGCAUUUGUGUACGUAUGUAUCUAACUAGCCAGCCAACUAUCUAGUUGCCUGUCUGUCCGUCAGUUCGUAUACACAUAAGCAUCCGCAUGUGUGCGCCUGUUCCUCUCUGUGAAUGAUUAAGAAAGUUUAUGCAAGAAUAUAAAAAUGUUUAAUAAACAUCGUAUUCAUCUCUCUCUCUUUCUCUCUCUCCCUCUCCCUCUCUCUCUUUCAUUCAUGUAUACAUAUGUGAGAAUGUGUUUGCGUGUGCGUGAGAGUGCGUGUGCAUACACACACAUGUGCAUAUAUAUAUAUAUAUAUAUAUAUUUAUAUAUGUGCAUAUAUAUAUAUAUACAUAUAUAUAUAUAUAUAUAUAUAUAUAUAUAUAUAUAUAUAUAUAUAUAUAUAUAUAUACGUGUGUGUGUGAGUGUAUACAUGCACAUAGGUAUCAUUGUAUGUAUGUAUGUCAUUGUUCAGUUUUAUUUCAAGAUUUCUUGCCAAUAGAGAAUGAACCAGUUUCUAACCUAGAGCUAAGACACCUUCAUUGGAAUUUCAACAUCAACAACUGGGUAUUUUUGUUUGUAUGUAUGUAUGUGCGCAUAUUUGUAUGUUUUGCUUCAUAUAUAUAUUCUCAUGCAUAUAGUUACAUAUCUAGACAUACUCAUAUAUAUUUGAAUAAUAAAUUCUUGGAAAGUUUUACAGUUCCAGUGAUGGAUUGGAUCUGUAGUUUUUGAAUUAGCUUUCUCUUUUCUGAUAUUCAGGACCCUGAUUUCUCAAAGUUGGUAUUUAGGCAGGGUAUUACAUAUCUCAGGGCCCCAAUAAUUACAGGUAUGAACCUGAACUCGUAAUCUGGAGAGAGUAACUACAGGUUUCUCAAUAGUUCGGUAUAGUGUUCCCUUUUCCACCGAUCUCCAGCUUUACGUUAACAUCCGCUGGUCAGGUAAUUUCCACAACUGUGCACAGUUUCCCUUCUCUAUUCCAAAUCAUUAUAUCAGGUCUGUUGUGCUUACAUUUUACUGAGGUAUUCACUGGGACGUUCCACCAGUAUUCCUUUUCUUGGCUUCUACCAUAUUGUGGUGUUUUAUUUCUUUGUCCUCGGGAUUAUCCUUACGACGGAUUUCAUUAUAAGUGUCCUAGCUACAACGUCAUGUCUCACCGGUAGAUAAUACCGUGAUGACAUUUUCGGACAACUGCUUAUGAAGUGGGUAAUAUCUUCAGUGUGAACUCCACAAAGUCUGCAUCGGUUGUCACAUUUUAUGGCUUUUCCUGCAUCUCUAUACAUUUUGUGCAUCAGAUAAUUGGUUCAUAUUUCCUGUUCCUGGAUUGCAAACGAACACGUAUGUAUGCAUGCAUGCAUAUAUGUAUGCAUGUAUGUAUGCAUGUGUGUAUGCGAGUGUAUAUCGGUACAGUAUGUCCAAGUGGUUAGGAAUUCUGCUUCGCAACCGUCAUCUCCCUCAUUCGAUCCCAUUACCCAACAACUUGGGUGAAUACCCUUUCUACUGUCUCCUUUCGAUCCAAACCUUGUGAGUAAAAAAAAUAUUUGAAACCUUAUGUUAUUUUACAAUAUAUUCAUUGAAGUAAUAUCAAACCAGUGUAUAGUGACUGUACACUCUAUACGAUAUUUUUACUCUUUCGUUUUCUCUCUUUUUCUCUCUCUUAUUCUUUUACCUCCUCUUCUCCUACUAUUCUGUCCUAUUACUCUGUCACUCUCUCUCCCUCAUUCCUCCUCCCUUGCUCAUGUGACUCCCACGUGACCAUCGGCCAUCUUUCUUUCUUUCUUUCCGUUGUAGCUGGAACAAGGUAGACGUGUUCAUGUCUGUCUCCUGUCCUAGCUUGAUUUACGCGAUCACCACCACAACCUCCUUUGGGCUUAGCAGCCCUUCAUGUUUGUUUUCACUGUCCUUUUGUGUUACCUAUUUUGACCCUCUGCAAAAUCCCAAAUUUUAUUUAAUUUUCUUUGCGGGAGCAACUGUUUUAUCGAAAGCGUAUAUUGUUGUUAAAUGCUCUAAAUACGAGACUAGAAAAACCGCCAACAACUGAUGAAGGGCCGGUUUUAUGUUGUUUGUUUUGUUUUCCAUUUGUGUCUUUCGUUGUUCGAAAGAAUAGUUCAUAUUUCAUGUACUCGUGCUUCGUACUUUUUUGUUGUACACGUUUCGUGAGGGCCUGUGCCCACAUAUGCAUAAAUAUAUACGUAUAGAUGUAAGUAUAUGCAUCUACGUAUGUAUAUAUUCACAUAUAUAUAUAUAUUAUUCAUAUUAUAUUAUAUGUAUGUGUGUAUGUAUGUAUGUAUGUAUGUAUGUAUGUAUGUAUGUAUGUAUGCAUGUAUGUAUGUAUGCAUGUAUACCAUCUUAAUUAGAUUAAAGGCUACAUUGUCGCAAGGAGGCACAUGUUGACACAAAGAUUCAAUCAGAAUGUGUGGAGGGCAUAGUGUGUGAGGGGUGUAGAAAUGAGGGAAGAAAUGAGUAAUAGAAGAAGGGAAGAAAGAAGAGAAAGAAUGAUAAAUAAGUAAAGAAAAAUAGAAAUAGGGGAGUGGGAGAAAGGAGGAAUUGGACGGGUCGGUGGUAGAAAAUAUAGUAGUUUUAGCUUCAUCACCGAAUUUGAUAGUGGGAUUGGCACUUGAAGAUAUAAAUUCAUGCAAGGUGGCGAGCUGGCAGAACCGUUAGCACGCCGAGCGAAAUGCUUAGCGGUAUUUCGUGUGCCGAUACGUUCUGAGUUCGACUUUGCCUUUCAUCCUUUCGGGGUCAAUAAAUUAAGUACCAGUUAUGCACUGGGGUCGAUAUAAUCGACUUUAUACGUUUGCCUGUCCUUGUUUGUCCUCUCUUUGUUUAGCCCCUUGUGGGUAAUAAAGAAGCAGAUAUAAAUUCAUACACACACAUACAAAUACACACACACACACACAUACAAAUACACACACACACACACAUACAAUACACACACACACAUAAUAUAUGUAUAUAUAUAUAUAUAUAUAUAUAUAUAUAUAUAUAUAUAUAUAUAUAUAUGAAAAAACAAGUCAAGAUAGAAAAUGCUAAAAUAAUUUUAUAAAGAACAUUUCAGUACCGGUUUCGGUCAUUUUGAGACCUUUUCAACUGUAACGAUUGAAUAAUUCAAUUUAGAAAAAUUAAUUUAGAAAAAUUAAAAGAAAAGUUUUUUUAAACCGGUACUGAAAUGCUCUUUAUAAAAUUAUUUUAGCAUUUUCUAUCUUGACUUGUCUUUUCAUAUAUAUCAACUCGUGUGUUCCUUUUCACCCAUAUAUAUAUAUACGUAUGUACGUGUGUGUACAUACUUUACGACCUAAUAUAUCUAUAUUUUGUAUUUUUGUACAAUAACUUCUUGUACGGCAGGAGAGGGGUCAACCAGAUGAGUUUCAAUCCUGUGUAGGGAUCUUGUCAGUCACUGAAUGUCGUUUGUAAUUGUCCACAUAGAUGCUGUUUUCUAGUGCACCAUUACGAAAUCGACCGGAAUGGUAUAAAAGAAUUUCUCAUUGACUUUUCAUUGCAAGGGAGAUAAGCUUUUUCUGAAAUAUUUCUGCAAAUCAAUGUAUUUCCUUAAAAAUACAUCUGAGUCACCAACUAAGUCACUUUGACCAGAAAUCUGAGAAGCAGGAUAAAUAUGUACCAUAAAUCGCACACUACUACGACCAUACUACAAUCUAGUUGUAAGCAUAUAUAGACACUCGUCCGGUCCUUGCAGCAUUGACGAAGCAGAACAUAGAGGACAUGACAGAUAUAGGCAAAGAGGCGAGCUGGCAGAGACGUUAGCACGCCGGGCGAAGUGCUUCGCGGUAUUUCGCCCGUCGCUACGUUCUGAGUUCAAAUUCCGCCGAGGUCGAUUUUGCCUUUCAUCCUUUCGGGGUCGAUAAAUUAAGAACCAGUUACGCACUGGGGUCGAUGUAAUCGACUUAAUCCGUUUGUCUGUCCUUGUUUUUUCCCCUCUAUGUUUAGCCCCUCGUGAAUAGUAAAGAAGCAGGUAUUGGCAAAUAAGCAUCAGCGCUUGGCUGAUACUUAUUUUCGUCAAACAGCAAGAACUCAACAGAGAACACUUGAUUCAUCGUUAUGUUGUUCUGAUUGCGUAGUCCGCUCUUUAUGUUUGUCUUUCGAUUUUUGCUUCAUUCUGAUACUUAUUCGUGGUUGAAUUAAAUCUUCUGUUUCUGUGUUUCUUCCGGAUAUUUUGGAAUAUUUUCCGGUGCAGCCGUUGACAUUCUGUGAUACGGUUCAUCCGUCUUUCUCAAGGAAGGCUUCAAUCUCUACUCACUUCUUUUGUCAUCAAUGUAGCUUGGGUGUACAGACCCGCAUAUAUUUGCACUGAGGCGCAUACAGAUAUCAAAUACACACACACACAUGCACGCACACACAAACAAAAACAUACGGACACACGCAUACAAACACAAACACGUAAACAUACUCAUGCAUAAACAUACAUAUUCUCUCUCCCACGUAAGCACACACACACACACUCAUGCACAAACAUGCAUACGCGCGCGCGCACACACACACACGUAUUUAUAAUGGAAAUAUAUAUUUGCAUGCAAAAUGUUCAAAAUAAUCUUUUCUACUCUAGGCAAAAUGCCCAACAUUUUGAGAGAGGGGGGCCAGUCGAUUAGAUCGACCCCAGUACUCAACUGGUACUUAUUUUAUCAACCCCGAAAGAAUGAAAAACAAAGUCAAGCUCGGCAGAAUUUAAACUCAGAACAUAAAAACAGACGAAAUAUCUAAUUCUUUACUGUCCACAAGGGGCUAAACACAGAGGGGACAAACAAGGACAGACAGACGGAUUAAGUCGAUUACAUCGACCCCAGUGUGUAACUGGUACUUAUUUAAUCGACCCCGAACGGAUGAAAGGCAAAGUAGACCUCGGCGGAGUUUUAACUCAGAACGUAACGGCAGACAAAAUACCGCUAAGCAUUUCACCGUCGUGCUGACGUUUCUGCCAGCUCUCCGCUUUAAACUGUUCAAAAUAAUGGCAACGAAAAGGGGAUCUUAUGUAGAGAUGACGAUAUUUAAAAUCUAAUAAACCUUAUUGAAGUGCUAGAUUAUCUUUUGGUUGUAUUAGAACUAAUAAUUUCGUCAUCAAAUUGGUUGCUCAGAUCAUAAUUUUAAUUUAUUUUAUUGAUUUCAUUUUUGAAACAUAUUAUACAGCUUAUGACAAGGGUUUCACCUAUUCCUCUUUCUAUUUUCAGUAAGCGUACCCUUGCAGCAGUAAACCGGAUAUGCAGAUCAGUUCCGGUUAUGGAACCUCCGGUAUCAUUGGUGUAACUUCCAUCGACGAGAACGACAGCAACAUCAAUAAUAAUAAUAAUAAUAUCAACGGGGCAAUUAAUAGUAACAACGACGAUAAGAGGAACAACAACAGUAACAGGAACCACAGCACCAAUAACAAUAAUAAUAAUAGUCCUACCAUGCCGUCUGCUGAGGCCCCCCUGAAUAAUAAUGACAAUGAACCGGAAGUUGCUUCUGGAAGCGACACACUAACACCAACAGAAUGGUUGUGGAGUACUUCGAACUGUCUUCACACGCGCCUGGAUAACCAGCUUCCUACUCAUCAUGAUCAUCAUCAUCAUCAUCCUCAUCACCAGCAGCAACAACAGCAACAAGCCCACACACAGCAAACGCAGCAUCCCUUACAUCCAACUCUACUCAAUGCUUCUCCUCACGCUUCCGCUCCUCCUCCUCCUCCUCCUCCAGCACAUCCUGUUACUCUUACUCAUAGUCAUCACCAUCAUCAUCAUCAUCAACAGCAGCAACAACAACAACAGCAACAGCCUCAACACCAGGAAAUGACGAGUGGCUCUAUUCUGUAUCCAGUGUCCACUGCUAACUUCCACGCCCAGGCUGGAGUCUACGGUCAACAGAAACAUCAGCAGCAGCAGCAGCGGCAGCAACAGCAGCAGCAUCAGUCACACCAGGGACAAGAUCAGCAACAGCAUAACCGCCACCACAACCCACAACACCACCACCAACAACAACACACUGAAGAUCAACAACAACAACAACAACCCCCGUUACUUACGUCUUCUGAACAUCAUCAGCAACAACAACAACAGCAACAUAACAUACACCUUCACCAUCAGAUACAGCAACAACAACAGCAGCAGCAGCAGCAACAUCAUCUCCAGCAACAACAGCAGCAGCAACAACACCAUCACCACCACCACCAUCUCCUUCUGCAUCCUCUCACCGCAGCCCACGCCGUCCGCCAUUCUGAAUCAAUGGUUAAUGCGGCACAAUACAACGCCGCGUCCG
rnacentral:lncRNA from 1 species